rnacentral:rRNA from 1 species
AGUGAACGCUGGCGGCAAGGCCUAAUACAUGCAAGUCGAACGGCAGCACAGCAGAGCUUGCUCUGUGGGUGGCGAGUGGCGGACGGGUGAGGAAUACAUGGGAAUCUGCCCAGUCGUGGGGAUAACGUAGGGAAACUUACGCUAAUACCGCAUGCGCCCUUCGGGGGAAAGCCGGGGACCUUCGGGCCUGGCGCGAUUGGAUGAGCCCAUGUCGGAUUAGCUAGUUGGCGGGGUAAGGGCUCACCAAGGCGAAGAUGGUUAGGGGUUUGAGAGAGAGACCCCCCACAUUGGAACUGAGAGACGGUCCAGACUCCUACGGGAGGCAGCAGUAGGGAAUAUUGGGCAAUGGGCGAAAGCCUGACCCAGCCAUGCCGCGUGAAGGAAGACGGCCUUAUGGGUUGUAAACUUCUUUACUAUACGAAUAGAGGUUAGUACGAGUUACUAAUAGGAAGGUAGUAUAGCAAAAAGCACCGGCUAACUCCGUG